UACGUAGGGUGCGAGCGUUAAUCGGAAUUACUGGGCGUAAAGCGUGCGCAGGCGGUUUUGUAAGACAGAUGUGAAAUCCCCGGGCUUAACCUGGGAACUGCAUUUGUGACUGCAAGACUAGAGUACGGGAGAGGGGGGUAGAAUUCCACGUGUAGAGGUGAAAUGCGUAGAUAUGUGGAGGAAUACCGAUGGCGAAGGCAGCCACCUGGAUCGAUACUGACGCUGAUGCGCGAAAGCGUGGGGAGCAAACAGG
rnacentral:rRNA from 1 species